rnacentral:rRNA from 1 species
UGCAGUCGAGCGGUAACAGAUAGAAAGCUUGCUUUCUUUGCUGACGAGCGGCGGACGGGUGAGUAAUGCCUGGGAAUAUGCCUUGAUGUGGGGGAUAACCAUUGGAAACGAUGGCUAAUACCGCAUAAUGCCUACGGGCCAAAGAGGGGGAUCUUCGGACCUCUCGCGUCAAGAUUAGCCCAGGUGGGAUUAGCUAGUUGGUGAGGUAAUGGCUCACCAAGGCGACGAUCCCUAGCUGGUCUGAGAGGAUGAUCAGCCACACUGGAACUGAGACACGGUCCAGACUCCUACGGGAGGCAGCAGUGGGGAAUAUUGCACAAUGGGCGCAAGCCUGAUGCAGCCAUGCCGCGUGUGUGAAGAAGGCCUUCGGGUUGUAAAGCACUUUCAGUCGUGAGGAAGGUAGUUGCGUUAAUAGCGUAAUUAUUUGACGUUAGCGACAGAAGAAGCACCGGCUAACUCCGUGCCAGCAGCCGCGGUAAUACGGAGGGUGCGAGCGUUAAUCGGAAUUACUGGGCGUAAAGCGCAUGCAGGUGGUUUGUUAAGUCAGAUGUGAAAGCCCGGGGCUCAACCUCGGAAUUGCAUUUGAAACUGGCAGACUAGAGUACUGUAGAGGGGGGUAGAAUUUCAGGUGUAGCGGUGAAAUGCGUAGAGAUCUGAAGGAAUACCGGUGGCGAAGGCGGCCCCCUGGACAGAUACUGACACUCAGAUGCGAAAGCGUGGGGAGCAAACAGGAUUAGAUACCCUGGUAGUCCACGCCGUAAACGAUGUCUACUUGGAGGUUGUGGCCUUGAGCCGUGGCUUUCGGAGCUAACGCGUUAAGUAGACCGCCUGGGGAGUACGGUCGCAAGAUUAAAACUCAAAUGAAUUGACGGGGGCCCGCACAAGCGGUGGAGCAUGUGGUUUAAUUCGAUGCAACGCGAAGAACCUUACCUACUCUUGACAUCCAGAGAAGCCAGCGGAGACGCAGGUGUGCCUUCGGGAACUCUGAGACAGGUGCUGCAUGGCUGUCGUCAGCUCGUGUUGUGAAAUGUUGGGUUAAGUCCCGCAACGAGCGCAACCCUUAUCCUUGUUUGCCAGCGAGUAAUGUCGGGAACUCCAGGGAGACUGCCGGUGAUAAACCGGAGGAAGGUGGGGACGACGUCAAGUCAUCAUGGCCCUUACGAGUAGGGCUACACACGUGCUACAAUGGCGCAUACAGAGGGCUGCCAACCAGCGAUGGUGAGCGAAUCCCAAAAAGUGCGUCGUAGUCCGGAUUGGAGUCUGCAACUCGACUCCAUGAAGUCGGAAUCGCUAGUAAUCGUGGAUCAGAAUGCCACGGUGAAUACGUUCCCGGGCCUUGUACACACCGCCCGUCACACCAUGGGAGUGGGCUGCAAAAGAAGUGGGUAGUUUAACCUUUCGAGGAGGACGCUCA